rnacentral:rRNA from 1 species
GGAGCAACGCCGCGUGAGUGAUGAAGGUUUUCGGAUCGUAAAGCUCUGUUGUUAGGGAAGAACAAGUGCCGUUCAAAUAGGGCGGCACCUUGACGGUACCUAACCAGAAAGCCACGGCUAACUACGUGCCAGCAGCCGCGGUAAUACGUAUGUGGCAAGCGUUGUCCGGAAUUAUUGGGCGUAAAGGGCUCGCAGGCGGUUUCUUAAGUCUGAUGUGAAAGCCCCCGGCUCAGCCGGGGAGGGUCAUUGGAAACUGGGGAACUUGAGUGCAGAAAAGGACAGUGGAAUUCCACGUGUAUCGGUGAAAUGCGUAUAGAUGUGGAGGAACACCAGUGGCAAACGCGACUCUCUGGUCUGUAACUGACGCUGAGGAGC